rnacentral:lncRNA from 1 species
AGUUUCUAAAAAGAACUGUGUCCUCUGACCAUCUUCUAACUCAUCCCGAUUCCCAUUUCCUAGAGUUUAUACGUGGGACGCCUACCACAGUAUGGCUGCCAAGCAGUGCCAUGUGCGCACCCGGGAUCCGAACCAGCGAACCCCGGGCCGCCUAGAAGCGGAACAUGCGAACUUAAACGCUGCGCCACCGGGCCGGCCCGAGUAGCUUCUGUUUUUAAAGAGCUAGCGUUAUCCGUAAGAGGAUGAGAAUGUUGCUUACUGGGUGCUGAGGUUUUAGGCUAUGCCACAUAAAAUAACUCAUAAAGGAAUACCCUUUAAUAGAUGUGAAGCUGAAAAGGCAAAUGUACCAGAAGCAAGGACUGAGAAGGACCCUGCAAGCUCCUGACUCACCCAGCUUCUCUCUGACUUUGAUCAGUCGAUAGUAGGAGCAAGAAGACAGACCUGGAUAACCAGCCUCUGAAAAACAGAAGGUUAAUAUGUUUUUU